rnacentral:rRNA from 1 species
CACCGCCCGUCACACCAUGGGAGUCGAUUGCUCCUAGAAGUGGCUGCGCCAACCCGCAAGGGAGGUAGGUCCCAAGAGUGAUCGGUGACUGGGGUG